rnacentral:rRNA from 1 species
GAUGAACGCUGGCGGCGUGCCUAAUACAUGCAAGUCGAGCGAACGGACGAGAAGCUUGCUUUUCUGAUGUUAGCGGCUGACGGGUGAGUAACACGUGGAUAACCUACCUAUAAGACUGGGAUAACUUCGGGAAACCGGAGCUAAUACCGGAUAAUAUUUUGAACCGCAUGGUUCAAAAGUGAAAGACGGUCUUGCUGUCACUUAUAGAUGGAUCCGCGCUGCAUUAGCUAGUUGGUGAGGUAACGGCUUACCAAGGCAACGAUGCAUAGCCGACCUGAGAGGGUGAUCGGCCACACUGGAACUGAGACACGGUCCAGACUCCUACGGGAGGCAGCAGUAGGGAAUCUUCCGCAAUGGGCGAAAGCCUGACGGAGCAACGCCGCGUGAGUGAUGAAGGUCUUCGGAUCGUAAAACUCUGUUAUUAGGGAAGAACAUAUGUGUAAGUAACUGUGCACAUCUUGACGGUACCUAAUCAGAAAGCCACGGCUAACUACGUG